AGGCGCGUAGCUCAGUGGUAGAGCACUACCUUGACACGGUAGGGGUCGUUGGUUCAAUCCCAAUCGCGCCUACAA
rnacentral:tRNA from 1 species